CCCGGGUAGUCCACGCCGUAAACGAUGGAUACUGGCUGUUGGAGGUAUCGACCCCUUCAGUAGCGAAGCUAACGCGUUAAGUAUCCCGCCUGUGGAGUACGGCCGCAAGGCUAAAACAUAAAGGAAUUGACGGGGACCCGCACAAGCGGUGGAUCGUGUUCUUUAAUUCGAUGCUAAACGAAGAACCUUACCAGGGCUUGACAUCCAGGGAAUUUUUGGGAAACCAAUUAGUGCCGUUUGGAACCCUGUGACAGGUGAUGCAUGGCCGUCGUCAGCUCGUGUCGUGAGAUGUUUGGUUAAGUCCGUCAACGAGCGCAACCCUUGUGUCUAGUUGUAUUUUUCUAGACAGACUGCUUCGGUAACGGAGAGGAAGGAGGGGAUGAUGUCAGGUCAGUAUUUCCCUUACGUCCUGGGCUAGAAACACGAUACAAUGGCUAGUACAAUGCGCAGCGAAGCCGCGAGGUGAAGCAAAUCGCAUCAAAGCUAGUCCCAGUUCGGAUUGGAGGCUGAAACUCGCCUCCAUGAAGUCGGAAUCGCUAGUAAUCGCAAAUCAGCAAGUUGCGGUGAAUACGUUCCCGGGUCUUGUACACACCGCCCGUCAAACCAUGAAAGUGACCAACACCCGAAGUCCGAUUCGUCGGCCUAAGGUGGGGGGCAUGAUUGGGGUU
rnacentral:rRNA from 1 species